rnacentral:rRNA from 1 species
UCCAGACUCCUACGGGAGGCAGCAGUGAGGGAUAUUGGUCAAUGGGCGGAAGCCUGAACCAGCCAAGUCGCGUGAGGGAAUAAGGCCCUACGGGUCGUAAACCUCUUUUGCCGGGGAGCAAGGGCGGGGACGUGUCCCGGCCCGGAGAGUACCCGGAGAAAAAGCAUCGGCUAACUCCGUGCCAGCAGCCGCGGUAAUACGGAGGAUGCGAGCGUUAUCCGGAUUUAUUGGGUUUAAAGGGUGCGCAGGCGGAAUGUCAAGUCAGCGGUAAAAUUUCGGGGCUCAACCCCGUCGUGCCGUUGAAACUGGCGUUCUUGAGUGAGCGAGAAGUAUGCGGAAUGCGCGGUGUAGCGGUGAAAUGCAUAGAUAUCGCGCAGAACUCCGAUUGCGAAGGCAGCAUGCCGGCUCCACACUGACGCUGAGGCACGAAAGCGUGGGUAUCGAACAGGAUUAGAUACCCCCGUAGAC